GAUGAACGCUGGCGGCGUGCCUAAUACAUGCAAGUCGAGCGAACAGACGAGGAGCUUGCUCCUCUGACGUUAGCGGCGGACGGGUGAGUAACACGUGGAUAACCUACCUAUAAGACUGGGAUAACUUCGGGAAACCGGAGCUAAUACCGGAUAAUAUAUUGAACCGCAUGGUUCCAUAGUGAAAGACGGUUUUGCUGUCACUUAUAGAUGGAUCCGCGCCGCAUUAGCUAGUUGGUAAGGUAACGGCUUACCAAGGCAACGAUGCGUAGCCGACCUGAGAGGGUGAUCGGCCACACUGGAACUGAGACACGGUCCAGACUCCUACGGGAGGCAGCGGUAGGGAAUUUUCCGCAAUGGGCGAAAGCUGGACGGAGCAACGCCGCGUGAGUGAUGAAGGUCUUCGGAUCGUAAAACUCUGUUAUUAGGGAAGAACAAAUGUGUAAGUAACUAUGCACGUCUUGACGGUACCUAAUCAGAAAGCCACGGCUAACUACGUG
rnacentral:rRNA from 1 species